CUGGGUUGGAUGAGUGGCGAACGGGUGAGUAACACGUGAGUAACCUGCCCUCUUCUUUGGGAUAACGGUCGGAAACGGCUGCUAGUACCGGGUAUUCACUGUCCUUCGCAUGGGGGGUGGUGGAAAGGUUUUUUCUGGUGGGGGAUGGGCUCGCGGCCUAUCAGCUUGUUGGUGGGGUGAUGGCUUACCAAGGCUUUGACGGGUAACCGGCCUGAGAGGGUGACCGGUCACAUUGGGACUGAGAUACGGCCCAG
rnacentral:rRNA from 1 species